rnacentral:lncRNA from 1 species
CAGAGAUUGAGACUUGUCUAGAGUAACACAAACCAGUAAGUGUUGGAAUUAAUGGAGGCAGGUAGUAAUGGGUGCCUUCUCCUAUGCCAGGGGCUUUCCUUGCUGCCAUGUACCUGGGUUCUAGGGACAAAGAGCCAAGAUGGUCAGGAACCAAAAAGGUAGUAGGUGGACUUAAUCGUACCCCAGCAAAAUGUGUUAUUCCUUCUCAUUUCUUUCUCUCUCUCUCUCUCUCUUUUUUUUUACACCAUUUAGUAGUGAUAACUUGAAAGAGCACAUAAUAUCUUUUUGUUGUUGUUGGAUAAGUGAAACUUAUUUUAAACAUAAGUUAUCCCUGAGGCACUAAGGAAGUAGAAAAUCUGGAGGGAAGUCUGUUGAAUUUCUCAGAGGGUAAUAGCUAUAGGGUCAGCUAAGGAAGGGAGAAAGUUACUAGUACAUGUGUGUAAUUGGAACUGAAAUUUUUAUGGCUCUCAUUAAGAUUUUUCAAAUCCUGUUUAAAGAUUGUAAUAUCAAUUUCAUAUAGCAAUCUUAGAGCUUAAGGGUGCUUAUCCACUUGUGGUUUUCUUUAGAUGACAGAACCGAGGUGCAGAGAAGUCGAAGCCUGCCUGGUGUCCCAGAGAGUGGCUGCAGGUAGAGCUUGUAGCUGCUGACUUCCUGAUUAGCGCCAUCUCUGCUUCCAACUCUUACCUCUUGGUAAGCUGUCCUUGAAGUACUCCACAGUCUUUUCUAUCUCUUUUUAUGUGUUUGAUCAACAUUGGCAUUUUGUAUCAAAAUGAACUUUAAAAUUCAUGAAAAUUACUGAUGCUUACGUGAUGAAAAUUAAAUUCUUUGUUUGAUUUCAGGUGAGUUAAUGUGGGAAAAAUCCUCGUAUUUUGAAGAUGUCUUGCAACAGUAUUGUUUCCUGUUUAAGUUACAAGUAACUUCAGUUUUUAGAGAAAAAAGAAAUUGGGUUUUUUUGUUAAAUCAUGCCAUCUGAACAGAAACAGUUAUUUUUUGAUGAAAAACAAACUAUUUUAAAAAAAGAUUAUGAUGUGAAAAAUGAGAUAGUUGAUACUAUUAGAUCAGUGCUUAGGCCAAAAAUUUCAGAAAGUCGUUUUCAUUAUGAACUAAAAAAUGUGAAAAUCGAUUUGCCGAAGAUAAAUAUUCCAAAUGAAGUCUUUUUGAAACAUGAAGUUGACAAAUACAGAAAGUUAUUUCAGCGUCAACCACAGACUGCAAGAAAAUCUAUCAGUAUAAAGACUGUAAGCUGUGUAGAGGAGUGUAUGCUGCUCCAGAAGUCUGAGAGAGUUGAAGAAGAGGGUUUAAAAAUGUCGGCAAAAAUACUCAAUUUCAACUGUUUAAAAUGCCGAGAUAGCACUCGAUAUAGCCCAAAUGAUUUACAGAAACACUUUCAGAUGUGGCAUCGUGGUGAAUUACCUUCAUAUCCUUGUGAAAUGUGCAGUUUUUCAGCAAAUGACUUCCAGAUAUUUAAACAACACAGACGGACACACAGAAGCACUUUAGUAAAAUGUGACAUUUGUAACAAUGAGAAUGUGUAUACUUUAUUAGACUUGACAAAGCAUUUUACAUCCACACAUUGUGUAAAUGGUAAUUUUCAAUGUGAAAAGUGCAAAUUCUCCACCCAGGAUGUUGGCACAUUUGUUCAGCACAUUCAUAGACAUAAUGAAAUCCAUUAUAAAUGUGGUAAAUGCCAUCAUAUAUGUUUUACCAAAGGAGAGCUUCAGAAGCACCUUCACAUUCAUUCUGGUACAUUUCCCUUCACUUGUCAAUAUUGUAGCUAUGGUGCCACUAAGAGAGAGCACCUCGUAAGACAUGUUAUAACUUUGCACAAAGAACACUUAUAUGCGAAAGAGAAACUGGAAAAAGACAAAUAUGAAAAAAGGAUGACAAAGACUUCAGGACUUAAGCUGAUACUGAAAAGAUACAGAAUAGAUGCAUCAAGGAAGACAUUCUGGAAACGCAAGAAGAUCAACAAUGGAAGCGACCGAAGUAUAGAAAAAAACACUCAAGUGCUAAAAAAACUGAACAAAACACAGGCUAAAUCUGAAGACCAGAGCCAUCUUGUUCAAGAACAUUUAAAUGAAGAAAAGGACGAAAGACCACACUGUGAGAAUAACGAUAAACCUGCUGAGUUAGGGUCAGAAAAGCCAACUCUUCUGUCCACUGGGCAAUAUAAUAGAGCUGAAGAGGGAUCACAUUCGACUCUAGGUUUCUUGAAGACUGCUGUACAAGGACCUACAGUGUUGAUGGUGAAAAAUAAUAGAAUAACAAUUCCUGCUAACUACAGUGCUGAUUUUAUGGGUUUUAAGAUGGUGGAUGGAAAACAACAUAUUGUAAUAAAAUUGUUGCCUACCAGUAAACAGAAUUUAUAUUCACCAGGCUCACAGCCAGGUGCUGCAAAGGAUGGUACUGGCAAUUUGCAGCCCCAGACACUGGACACUACUGGAUUUUUAGCAGGAGUAACAACUGAGUUAAGUGACACCGUUUACAUGAAAGCAACUACUCCAUUUUCGUGCUCAUCUCCUCUACUUUCAGGGAAAGUCCUAUCAGAAAAAGAAAUGGCUUUGCUAUCUCAAACGGGUAAUAUGCUUCAAACAGUGGAUGAUGAAAAAAGUGUGUCGUCUUUGUCAGCAUCAGGAUUGGUUACAGCAUCAGUGAAUUUGGCCACAAAAGUUGAAACAAAAGAUAAUAUUGACUUAUGGGGAAGUUACAUUCCUCAGAGUCACCCUGAGAUACCAGGUGCUGCCAUUAGAAGUCCAGAUAAAGUCAACUCUGCUACCAAACAAAAUGCAUACAACAGCGGAGAUAUGCAUAACUAUUGCAUUAAUUAUGUCAGCUCUGAGUUACCUGUUGAAUCUUCCAACCACGGAUCAUUACCCUUUCAUAAUUACUCAAAAGUAAAUAAUUCUAAUAAACGUCGUAGGUUUUCAGGAACAGCGGUGUCUGAAAAAGAACCCUCAUCAAGCAAAACAGUUGUUCAACAACCAAUAAGUGAAUCGGUUUUAUCUUUGGUGCGAAAGGAGAGCUCAAAUCCAGAUAGCAUGUUAGCAUCUCUUAGCCUGUUAAAUACUAAAGAUGGAACUUUAAAAAUGCAAGCUGAAAUUGAAGAACAAUGUGUGUUAGAAAAAGGACAAAACAUUGACGGACAGAACUUCUACACUAAUGAAAAUCAAAAUUUAGAGAAUGUGACUGAAAAAUCUAAGUGGGAUGACAUUUCUAAUGUUGAGUCACCUAUGAUGCCUAGAAUCACAUCUGUUUUCUCUCUCCACAGCCAACAGGCAUCAGAAUUUUUGCCCCCUGAAGUAAACCAGUUACUUCAGGAUGGGUUAAAAACAAAAUCUGAUGUAAAACAGGACUCUAGUAAGACUCCAGAUAAAGGCCUGCCACUUCAUUGUGACCAGUCCUUUCAGAAACCUGAGGGAGAAGGCAAAAUAGUUGAAUCUUCAAAAGACUUCAAAGUACAAGGUGUCUUCCCAAUUCCAUCUGGUGGUAUAGGGAUUAAUGUGCCUAUAAAUGAUCUGAAUUUAAAGUGUAGUGGAAAAGAAAAACAAAAUCUGUCAAUAUCACAAGAUGUGAGAGAUUCAGAAAAGGCACCUAGAAUUUCAGGUAUUGGCACAUUACUUAAGACUCAGUCAGAUGCAAUAAUAACACAGCAGCUCGUAAAAGAUAAACUGCGAGCCACUACACAAAAUUUAGGUUCUUUAUAUAGGCAGAGUCCACUUCUAAAUUCAGAACCAAAAAAAGCUAUAUUUGUUCAGACUCCAAAAGGCUUUUUUGUACCACUGCACAUUGCUAACAAGCCUGGAUUACAUGUUGUUUCAGGAAGACCACUUCCAUUGGUUAACACACAAGGUGUACCUGCUUCUCUUCUUUUAAACAAGAAACCCGGGAUGAUUUUAACAUUUAAUCAUGGGAAACUUGAAGGUGUUUCCACUGUCAAAACUGAGAGUGCUCAAGCUUGUGGAACUACAGCUAAGGAGCUUUGCAGAACACCUUUUUUAAAGGUGGAACCAAACAGUAAUUGUCUGACACCUGCACUAUGUUCCAGCAUUGGCAGUUGCUUGAGCAUGAAAAGUAGUUCCGAAAAUACUCUGCCGUUAAAAGGCCCGUACAUUAUUAAAACGUCAGCAAGUUCUUCAGUGAAAGCUGUUCCUACUCCUAAUGUAGCUUCUGAGCACCAGGGCACCAAGUUGAAUAUUUUGGAAUCAGUAAAACAGCAGAAUGAGAUUUUUCCCAAACCACCUCUUUAUACCCUCUUGCCUGAUGGCAAACAAGCUGUUUUUUUAAAGUGUGUGAUGCCAAAUAAGACUGAGCUGCUUAAGCCUAAAUUAGUCCAAAAUAGUACGUAUUAUCAAAACAUACAGCCAAAGAAACCUGAAGGAACACCACAAAAAAUAUUGCUGAAAAUUUUUAACCCUGUUUUAAAUGUGACUGCUGCUAACAAUCUGUCUGUAAACAACUCUGCAUCCUCAUUGCAGAAAGACAAAGUACCAUCUAAUCAGACUACAGGAGGAGAGCAGAGAGAGCCAGAAUCUUCUAGAGAUGCCUUACCCUUCUUACUAGAUGAUAUGAUGCCAGCAAAUGAAAUUGUGAUAACUUCUACUGCGACAUGCCCAGAAUCUUCUGAGGAACCAGUGUGUUUCACUGACCGUUCAGAUACCAGGGUGUUAAGGUGUAAAACAAAUUGUACAAUUGAGAGAAGCUUCAAUAGAAAAAAGACUUCCAAAAAAAAUUUUCCAAGAAUAAAAACUCAUGUAAGAAGUAAAGAUUCUGAAACUGCCUUUGUACCUAGAAACAGGAACUGUAAACGAAAGUGUAGGGAGAGUUACCAAGAACCUCCAAGAAAAAAGGCAACAUUACAUAGAAAGUGUAAAGAAAAGGCAAAACCCGAAGCUGUCCGUGAAUCGUUUGGAUUUAGCAGACCGAGGCUUUCAAAAGAUGCAGUCAGAACUUUGCGGCUUUUCCCAUUUAGUUCCACACAGCUUGUGAAAUGUCCUAGGAGAAACCAGCCAGUUGUAGUUUUGAAUCAUCCUGAUGCAGAUGCCCCAGAAGUAGUAAGUGUAAUGAAAACUAUUGCUAAAUUUAAUGGACGUGUACUUAAGGUUUCAUUGUCAAAAAGAACUAUCGAUGCUUUACUGAAACCGGUUUGUGGUAAUGCUUCACAAACAAUUUAUGAUGAUUUUUCCAAGAGGCAUAAAACAUUUAAACCUGUUAGUUCUGUGAAAGAAAGAUUUGUGCUAAAAUUAACACUCAAAAAGAUGAGCAAAAACAAUUAUCAGAUCGUGAAAACUACCUCUGAAAAUGUUCCAAAAGCUAAAUUUAACUGUUGGUUUUGUGGUAGAGUAUUUGACAAUCAGGAUGCUUGGGCUGGUCAUGGGCAGAGACAUUUAAUGGAAGCUACUCGUGAUUGGAAUAUAUUAGAAUAAUUUACUGUAGUUACCAAGGAACAGAGAAGUAAAAGGGUCUUAGAAGAAAACAGUGGGUUGAAUUACCUUAAGGUAAUUGUCUACUUCAGUAUAUACCUAAAAUUGAACAUCGGAAAGUAGGCUGUAUUUCCAUGGGAGACUAGAAAAGUUUUAUGUGUGAUAGUUGCAAAUGCUGUCACUGGACACAUAAGCUUUGAAAGAAACUAAUCACAGCACAGAUGUACCUUGAUUUAGUUUUUUUUAAGUGUGUUGUUGGGAAGUUAGGGCUAAAGAAAAUUUUGAUAAAACAGUUUUCCCAGUUUAGUUAUUUAGGGACUCUUAGUAGAGGGUAACGGCUGACAACUGCAUUCCCUCUCUUCUUCCACCAGCCUUAGGAAUCUGAUAAGUGUAGCUCCUCUGAAGAUGGAGAGAGCUCUUUCACCAUGGAGCUGAAGGAGUUCCUCAUCAUUUGUGAAGAUACACUAAGAGAGCUUGAGUAAAGAAUUUAACUUUACAUCUGCUUGAUAGAGCUGUUUUGAAGGGUAUUAGGUUCCUUAGAGUAAGUACAGUUAUACCUCUUGAUGCUUGAAGAGAGUUUUUGACAAGUACAUCUUUUUUUCUCUUACGCUGUGUCCCACAUCAAGGAUUGGAAUACCCUCCCAAGGUGAUUUUCUUUUUCUAAAUGGCUGUGUCAAGCACUGUAGUAGAUGAGAAGCCUCAAAAGAAGAAUUAAACUCUCUGGGUCUAGUUUGAAGUCUAGUGAAGGAACUUGAACAUUUUUCUGAAUUUGAUGAUAAUCUCCAGUGAUUCUCUUGCACAGAACUAUGCUUAUUUGAUUUAAAUUGUUUGUCCCUCUUAAACCAAAUGGCCCAUUUUUUACUUGGUUGCCAUGCAUUUAAAAAGUGGACCAUAGACGCACUUCCAAGGGAAUGGCUUUUCUUGAAAAUAAAAAAUUAUUCUCCAGAAACCAUAUUUUGAAACAAGAUUAGCAAAGCAAAUCAGAUUUUUGCUGUUUAAUUACUGUUAGGUGUCUAAACAUGUACUCUCUGGGACAAACCAUUUUUGUUAGCACCUUUUCAGUAUGAUUGACAGCCCAAAGCAGAUUCUUUACUGUUUGUUGGCAGUUGAAAUAAAGAAGCAUUAAUAGUGGAUUCAGUGACAGUGCAUAAAAUUUCAGGACAGAUUCCUAGGGGACAUACCUAGCAGGUAGGGUUUUAAAAUGGAUAUUUUCAUGACAACGACAGAAUCAUUGACUGAAACUUCACCGUGUAAGUUUGGAUCAAAUUUUGUUGGAUCAUUGGAUAACGGAGUCCUUGUAUUACAAAUUACUGUAUAAUUUUUGUUAUAUUGUUACUACAAGUGUUACAACAUUUUCAUUGACUGAAAACUUCAGGGCUUCUUUUCUGUAUAUAAGAAAGAAUUUAAACCUGUACAUAUUUUUGUACCUUUCAGUUUGUUAUGUAAAUUUUGCACAGAAAAUUUUUGACAUAAAAAGUUUAUUUUCCUUCAGUUUAGUUCUGUGCAUGCACUAAUAAAACUGGUUGUUUAAUUUAAAAGGAAUAUGUAAGACUUUACCCAUGUCCUUUUCUUGGUUUUUAUUUUAGAUGUAGAAUUUUUUUUUUUUUGGGUAAAUUCAUUUUUCAGGGAUUGAACACUAUUGUUAGCAAGUGCCUAAAAGAUGUGAAACAGUUUACAUAUGUCAACUGUAACAGUAGGUCCCAAAUGGGCCCAUUCCCCCAAAAGUUUUAUUUUAAAGAAAGCCAUACAUAGAUGCUUCAAGCUAUCUUGCUAUGCACAUUAUACAUGUACUUUUUUUGUGCAGUUUGUCUACUUUCCUAGUGAAGUAUUUUUUGUAUAAAACCUGUUAUAAUUGUGUUUCUUAAAUUGAGCCUAAGAAUGGAGUUGAUUGGAAAUAUACAGUAUAUAUUAAUAACGUAUAUGGUGUUUAAAGAAUGAUAAGUAUUGUUAAUUUCUGUAAUGAAAAUUUUCUUCAAUUAAAUUUAUCUUAAGUUUGUGUUUACACAGUAAUUUUUUUUACUGUACUGAAGUCAAAUGGGAAUUUUAUUCUAAAGGGAAAUACUUCUAUUUCAAAAAAGUUUGUUUCCUUUUAUGCUAGGGAACUGUGUCAAAUAAAGUGUGGAUUUGCCCCCCCAAAAUCAUAGAUGGAACUUUGUUUGAGAACAAACACUUAACACCAUAAAGUUACUAUAGUUAUGCUGAUGAGGAAAAUCAUAGAGAGGCUUAUGCUCUUUAGUACCCUAACAGCAAUAGAAUUGAAAUGCUCUGCUGUUCUGGGUAGAUGUAUUAUAACUCAUUGCCUUCCAUGAAUAGAGAAGAGAGAGCAGCAACUAUCAUGCCAAUGUUUGCAGGAUUAUAAAAACACAUUUCAGAAUAGCCAUGCUGGUAAAAAUCUAAUGUUGUGAUGCAUACUUUUUGCCUUAAAGUUUUAAAAGCCAUUUUAAAAAGCUUCAUGCCCCAGAUACUCUAGUUAGCCCCUUUUCUGAUUUGUUAGGUUAUUCUGAAGAAGGCAAACUUCCUUGGAACCUCUCUCUUGUGGAGUGGAAAAUCCAAAAUCAAAACCCACCAUCCUUUCUUUUCUCCUAGCUGAAACUGAACUAAAGAUUGUUCUCUAAAAUAGGAAUAGCCACUAAUUUGAGGUUGUGACUACACUGGAAGGGUUUUAUUUUUGCAAUCCAACUUCUUGGUCAGGAAUUUGUUUCAUUUUUCCCUAGUUGUCCAUCUCCAAGGAAAUGGACCUAUUUGCAUUCGAUUGAAAAAAUAGUUUAACUUUCAAAGAGUUUACCUUUCAUCUUACUAAGCACUCAGUGUAUUGAAAUGUGAUAUAUAUAUAUGUGAUAUAUAU